AUUGAACGCUGGCGGCAUGCCUUACACAUGCAAGUCGAACGGCAGCACGGGAGCAAUCCUGGUGGCGAGUGGCGAACGGGUGAGUAAUAUAUCGGAACGUGCCCGGUCGUGGGGAUAACGUAGCGAAAGCUACGCUAAUACCGCAUACGAUCUACGGAUGAAAGCGGGGGAUCGCAAGACCUCGCGCGAUUGGAGCGGCCGAUAUCAGAUUAGGUAGUUGGUGAGGUAAAGGCUCACCAAGCCGACGAUCUGUAGCUGGUCUGAGAGGACGACCAGCCACACUGGGACUGAGACACGGCCCAGACUCCUACGGAGGCAGCAGUGGGGAAUUUUGGACAAUGGGCGCAAGCCUGAUCCAGCAAUGCCGCGUGCAGGAUGAAGGCC
rnacentral:rRNA from 1 species